GAUGAACGCUGGCGGCGUGCCUAAUACAUGCAAGUCGAGCGAACGGACGAGAAGCUUGCUUCUCUGAUGUUAGCGGCGGACGGGUGAGUAACACGUGGAUAACCUACCUAUAAGACUGGGAUAACUUCGGGAAACCGGAGCUGAUACCGGAUAAUAUUUUGAACCGCAUGGUUCAAAAGUGAAAGACGGUCUUGCUGUCACUUAUAGAUGGAUCCGCGCUGCAUUAGCUAGUUGGUAAGGUAACGGCUUACCAAGGCAACGAUGCAUAGCCGACCUGAGAGGGGGAUCGGCCACACUUGAACUGAGACACGGUCCAGACUCCUACGGGAGGCAGCAGUAGGGAAACUUCCGGAAUGGGCGAAAGCCUGACGGAGCAACGCCGCGGGAGGUAUGAAGGUCUUCGGAUCGUAAAACUCUGGUAUUAGGGAAGAACAUAUGUGUAAGUAACUGUGCACAGCUUGACGGUACCUAAUAAGAAAGCCACGGCUAACUACGUG
rnacentral:rRNA from 1 species